rnacentral:rRNA from 1 species
AGGGCGUACGGUGAAUGCCUUGGUGCCAACAGGCGAAGAAGGACGCGGCAAGCUGCGAAAAGCCUCGGGAAGCUGCAAGCAAGCGAUGAUCCGGGGAUAUCCGAAUGGGGUAACCUGAUCGAGGCAAUACUCGAUCGUUCAUACCUGAAUACAUAGGGUAUGAAACGCGAAACCCGCUGAAGUGAAACAUCUCAGUAAGCGGAGGAAAAGAAAGAGAAAUCGAUUCCGUAAGUAGUGGCGAGCGAAAGCGGAUGGAGCCCAAACCGAAGGUAUUCCUUCGGGGUUGUAGGACCACGUCAUAUUCGACCAUACUGGAUAGUAGAACAGCCUGGAAAGGCUGGCCGGAGAAGGUGAAAGCCCUGUAGACGAAAUCCAGAGUGGGAAUUAGUGGUAUCCUGAGUAAUACAUCACACGUGGAACGAUGUAUGAACCCGCGCGGACCACCGCGCAAGGCUAAAUACUAGUUGGCGACCGAUAGUGAACAAGUACCGCGAGGGAAAGGUGAAAAGAACCGCUGUGAGCGGAGUGAAAUAGAACCUGAAACCGUAUGUCUACAAAGUGUCAGAGCAGAGCAAUCUGCGAUGGCGUGCCUUUUGUUUAAUGAGUCUGCGAGUCAGUGUUUGUGGCAAGACUAAGGGCUUCCGGCCCGGAGUCGCAGCGAAAGCAAGUCCGAACAGGGCGCAAUAAGUCGCAGGUACUGGACCCGAAGCGGAGGUGACCUACCCUUGGCCAGGUUGAAGCAUGGGUAAAACCAUGUGGAGGACCGAACAGGUGAACGUUGAAAAGUUCUCUGAUGAGCUGAGGGUAGGAGUGAAAGGCUAAUCAAACCCCGUGAUAGCUGGUUCUCUUCGAAAUGCAUUUAGGUGCAGCGUCACGUGCUGAUGCGCGGGGGUAGAGCACUGACAAGGCUAGGGGGCACACCCGCUUACCAAACCUUAUCAAACUCCGAAUACCGUGCAAUGGAACGUGGCAGUGAGACAGUGGGGGAUAAGCUUCAUUGUCGAGAGGGAAACAACCCAGACCAGCAGCUAAGGUGCCUAAAUAACGCUCAGUGGAAAGGAUGUGGGAUUACACAGACAGUGAGGAUGUUGGCUUAGAAGCAGCCACCAUUUAAAAAAUGCGUAAUAGCUUACUCAUCGAGUGAUCCUGCGCCGAAAAUGAUUGGCGAUCAAGCGUUAUACCGAAGCUCUGGACUUUGCCGCAAGGCAGAGUGGUAGAAGAGCGUUGCAUGCGCGUCGAAGGGCGAUGGCGACUGACCCUGGAGCACAUGCAAGUGAGUAUGCAGACAUGAGUAACGUUAAGCCGGGUGAAAUCCCCGGCCGCCGUAAACCCGAGGUUUCCAGGGCAACGUGUUUCGUCCCUGGGUUAGCCGGGACCUAAGCCGAGGCCGAGAGGCGUAGGCGAUGGACAUCAGGUUAAUAAUCCUGAGCUCGCAACCCUUAAACUGGGGGGACGCAUGAGAAAAGAUGACUAGGUUAUUGAAUUCCGAGUUGAGUCUACGGACUCAGCGCAUCAUUGGAUCGAGUGCCAAGAAAAGCCCCAGCGUAUGCUAAGCGACCCGUACCGCAAACCGACACAGGUGGGUGGGUAGAAUAUACCAAGGCGUAAGAGUGAAACCUGGUUAAGGAACUCGGCAAAUUAGCCCCGUAACUUCGGAAGAAGGGGUGCCUGCAGCGAUGCAGGCCGCAGAGAAAUGGCCCAACCGACUGUUUAUCAAAAACACAGCACUCUGCAAAGACGCAAGUCGAAGUAUAGGGUGUGACACGUGACCAAUGCCGAAAGAUUAAGGCAAGGGGUUAGCCGCAAGGCGAAGCUCUAAACCCAAGUCCCGGUGAAUGUCGGCCGUAACUAUAACGGUCCUAAGGUAGCGAAAUUCCUUGUCGGGUAAGUUCCGACCUGCACGAAUCGUGAAACGAGUUGGGCACUGUCUCAACCAGGCGCUCAGUGAAAUUGUAGUGGCGGUGAAGAUGCCGCCUACCCGCAGAAGGACGGAAAGACCCUAUAGACCUUAACUGUAAGCUGUCAUUGUUUCUUCGGUUUUAAUGCUCAGAGUAAGUGGGAGACGCUGAAGACGCCCUUUAGGGGGCGUCCGAGUCAUCAAUGAGACACCACCCUUUGAAACUGGAGGAUCUAACCCUGAGCCGUGAAUCCGGCCAGAGGACCGUGUCAGCCGGUCAGUUUUACUGGGGCGGUAUCCUCCCAAAGAGUAACGGAGGAGCGCGAAGGUGGGCUCAGCCCGGUUGGCAACCGGGUGUCGAGUGCAUGGGCAUAAGCCCGCCUAACUGUGAGACCAACAAGUCGAGCAGAUGCGAAAGCAGGCCCAAGUGAUCCGGCGGUAGAAAGUGGAAUUGCCGUCGCUCAACGGAUAAAAGGUACCUUAGGGAUAACAGGCUGAUCACGCCCAAGAGUUCAUAUCGACGGCGUGGUUUGGCACCUCGAUGUCGGCUCGUCGCAUCCUGGGGCUGUAUUCGGUCCCAAGGGUUUGGCUGUUCGCCAAUUAAAGC